rnacentral:rRNA from 1 species
GGCUCAGAUUGAACGCUGGCGGCAUGCCUUACACAUGCAAGUCGAACGGCAGCACGGGGCAACCUGGUGGCGAGUGGCGAACGGGUGAGUAAUGCAUCGGAACGUGCCAUUGAGUGGGGGAUAACGUAGCGAAAGUUGCGCUAAUACCGCAUAUUCUGUGAGCAGGAAAGCAGGGGACCGCAAGGCCUUGCGCUCUUUGAGCGGCCGAUGUCAGAUUAGCUAGUUGGUGAGGUAACGGCUUACCAAGGCGACGAUCUGUAGCGGGUCUGAGAGGAUGAUCCGCCACACUGGAACUGAGACACGGUCCAGACUCCUACGGGAGGCAGCAGUGGGGAAUUCUGGACAAUGGGCGCAAGCCUGAUCCAGCCAUGCCGCGUGAGUGAAGAAGGCCUUCGGGUUGUAAAGCUCUUUCGGCCGGGAAGAAAUCGCAUGGGUUAAUACCCUGUGUGGAUGACGGUACCGGAAUAAGAAGCACCGGCUAACUACGUG